GGAUCCAUCAGCUUGCUUGGUGGUGAGAGUGGCGAACGGGUGAGUAAUGCGUGACCGACCUGCCCCAUGCUCCGGAAUAGCUCCUGGAAACGGGUGGUAAUGCCGGAUGUUCCACAUGAUCGCAUGUGAUUGUGGGAAAGAUUCUAUCGGCGUGGGAUGGGGUCGCGUCCUAUCAGCUUGUUGGUGAGGUAACGGCUCACCAAGGCUUCGACGGGUAGCCGGCCUGAGAGGGCGACCGGCCACAUUGGGACUGAGAUACGGCCCAGACUCCUACGGGAGGCAGCAGUGGGGAAUAUUGCACAAUGGGCGCAAGCCUGAUGCAGCGACGCCGCGUGAGGGAUGGAGGCCUUCGGGUUGUAAACCUCUUUUGUUUGGGAGCAAGCCUUCGGGUGAGUGUACCUUUCGAAUAAGCGCCGGCUAACUACGUGCCAGCAGCCGCGGUAAUACGUAGGGCGCAAGCGUUAUCCGGAUUUAUUGGGCGUAAAGGGCUCGUAGGCGGCUCGUCGCGUCCGGUGUGAAAGUCCAUCGCUUAACGGUGGAUCUGCGCCGGGUACGGGCGGUCUGGAGUG
rnacentral:rRNA from 1 species